AGUCUUGCAGAGCGUUUAGUGACAUAAAGUCCUAAAAAUAAUUUAGUUAAAGAAACAAGAUUAAAUCAUGAAGACUUGCUUACUUGGCCUAGUUAUACUUUUUUCGGUCAUUGCAGAUUUUUGUGAUGCAACUAAUGCAAAUACUUGUAGUUUACCACGAGCAAUUGGAUUAUGUCUGGCUUCUAUUCCCAG